rnacentral:sRNA from 1 species
CGCGUCCGCCUCGUGGACGCCGGUGCCCAUCCAAGCCCACACCCGGUUACCCUGGCGCCGUGCCCCUUGCCCGGCCGCGUCCGGGCAAGCCGCAUAGCCGACAGCCGUCGCAUCCCAGGGAGCACCUUCAUG